UGUCAGCCUCUUGAUUCGGACAGCUUGGAGCUACACGCAGCCAGAACUCCACAAACAGCCCCAGCGGCCCCUGGCCUGUCUGCCUUCCUGGACAAGCCACACCCUGCGUCUGUGCAGUGCCCGGGAUUGGCCGCUGGGCGGGUAUGCCAGCCCCGAGGGCCUGACCCGUGGUGACGCCAGCCGGGUGCUCUGUCUGGUGUGUUGGUCAAUGCCAAGGACAGCAGAGGUGGGAAGGCAGGAGAUGCCUUCCCUUCUGUGGCUGACCCGUGCACCCAGGACAGUGCCAGCUUGGGAACUCUGCUUGUCCAUUAAAGCUUCAGCACGGAUGUGUUCUGUAUUAUGUGCCCCUUGGGGUCCUUCUGUAGCUUUUCUCUUCUGCCAUGUACCCAGGAAGCUGUCUUCCGUGGGCUUUAUCAACCACCUCCUUGACCUCCAGCAUCUGGCUGGGGGAGCCAAUAGGGAGCCCCGUUGGAGAUCCAAGGGCGGGACAAGAGACAGGCAGAGGUAUUUACUCCCUUGUCCUGUCUGCCUUCCCUGCAAUGCUGCUAUAGGCUGGCAUCCUCACUUGCCUGCCGGCCUUAGCUCCUCCUACCAGGCAGCCCUUCCCACUUAGCUCUCUCCUCCAGGUAUCAGCGAUUCCUCCCUACUUUACCAUCCAACCUGGGGCUAGAAACUGCUCCCCACUAUGACUAACCUUGGGGAGCUCUACCAUUCCUGGUGGUUUCCCUAUACAGUGCCCUUUUGGGUGAAUAGUCUUUUUAUGAAAUGGCCCAAAUUUGAAACACACUGUCUCUUUCCUGCAGGGAUUCUGUCUACACAUCCCUGAGAGGUAAUUAUUGUUUGUUACCUGUUACAGAAGAGGAAACUGAGGCUUUUAGAGCUUGGGUGAAUUGCACGAGGUCACAAAGAAGGCCUGGGCAGAGCUGGAAUCUCCUGACCAUCCGUUUGGUGGAAGAUCGGAGCUUUCUAGAGCAUCUCCCGGCCUGGCAAAUUGGCAUGAAGGUUCUGUUUUGUUUUGAAGAGGGCGUCUUCCAAGGAACCCUGUGUUUUCAAUGAGUGACCCACUCAUGGGAUAUUAAGGUUGCAAGAUGUAACCCAGGUAAUCUAAUACGAUGCCUGCUUAAAGCCUA